ACCAUGGAAAGGUCUGUGCCCUCGCUGGCAAUAAACAAACUUGGCCUGUUGAAAAUCAAGUCUGGUCUAUUCCUUUUCCUUUGUCCUCCAUUUUUCUAAC